rnacentral:rRNA from 1 species
GACGAACGCUGGCGGCGUGCUUAACACAUGCGAGUCGAACGGAAAGGCUCCAGCUUGCUGGAGUACUCGAGUGGCGAACGGGUGAGUAACACGUGGGUAAUCUGCCCUGCACUCUGGGAUAAGCCUGGGAAACUGGGUCUAAUACUGGAUAUGACCUUUCUCCUUAUGGGGUUUGGUGGAAAGUUUUUCGGUGUAGGAUGAGCCCGCGGCCUGUCAGCUUGUUGGUGGGGUGAUGGCCUACCAAGGCGACGACGGGUAGCCGGCCUGAGAGGGUGAUCGGCCACAUUGGGACUGAGAUACGGCCCAGACUCCUACGGGAGGCAGCAGUGGGGAAUAUUGCACAAUGGGCGGAAGCCUGAUGCAGCGACGCCGCGUGAGGGAUGACGGCCUUCGGGUUGUAAACCUCUUUCAGCAGGGACGAAGCGUAAGUGACGGUACCUGCAGAAGAAGCACCGGCUAACUACGUG